AGCGAACGCUGGCGGCAGGCCUAACACAUGCAAGUCGAACGGACCCUUCGGGGUCAGUGGCGGACGGGUGAGUAACACGUGGGAACGUGCCUUUAGGUUCGGAAUAGCUCCUGGAAACGGGUGGUAAUGCCGAAUGUGCCCUCCGGGGGCAAGGUUUCUCGCCUUUAGAGCGGCCCGCGUCUGAUUAGCUAGUUGGUGGUGUAACGGACCACCAAGGCGACGAUCAGUAGCUGGUCUGAGAGGAUGAUCAGCCACAUUGGGACUGAGACACGGCCCAAACUCCUACGGGAGGCAGCAGUGGGGAAUCUUGCGCAAUGGGCGAAAGCCUGACGCAGCCAUGCCGCGUGAAUGAUGAAGGUCUUAGGAUUGUAAAAUUCUUUCACCGGGGACGAUAAUGACGGUACCCGGAGAAGAAGCCCCGGCUAACUUCGUGCCAGCCGCCGCCGUAAAAC
rnacentral:rRNA from 1 species